rnacentral:lncRNA from 1 species
CGUUACGUUAACGUCGACGACAUUUCGAUUCUACGCAAACGAGUUACGUGCGCGAUUUAUGAGAGCGAAUACGUUAUCAUGGAUGACAUUUAGAGAAAUUUUAUGUGAGCAGAGGGGGAAGAGAGAGGAGGAACGUACGGGGCAUGCGCACACGCCUCGAACUCGGCGUCACUCGCGUGUUGUGUUCUUUCUCACUGUACGCGGUCCGUCACUAGUGAGCGGUGUUUUUCUAUGGAGUUCUUUCCGUGCGUGGAUUUAUGGCGUACAGAAUAACCGCAGUGUGGUGUCUGUUUGUUUUAACGCUUCUGAACGUCUGCAUACAAGGUAAGUGAAACAUCUACACCAGUUUGAAACGAUCCACGUCGCUAAAUCGUCCAGCGUACUUGCUUAGAGUUUUUAUUGCUCUCUGUCCAUCAUGGCCGUUUUCAUCAUCGGAAAAAAGCCAAGCGAAAUCAAACGAUCGGAUGCUUUUUAUGAUCGUUAAAUACUAAACUAUGGCUGUAAUUCGUUUGUUUAUAGAAUAAAAUCAAAUCAUAAAUGACUGCCACUAACGAUGGGCCAAAGGGAAGUCAAUGGCGUCUUUUUUUUCGUCUACCUUCUUUUUUAUAUCGUAUGUGUGUAUGUUGUGUGUGUGCGUGUGUGUGUGCUCAUAAUGUAUGUGAUGCGGUUCGACGACAGUUCAUGGGAUGAAGUCGGAUCUCAGUUUGUUUGGUAUAGGAUGAUACAGUAAAAAAUAAAACGUGGAUGUAGUGUAGAAAAGUCACUUGGCGCGAAAACGUGUCAACGACAUUGAUAAAAAUACCGACGUCGUUUAUCUUAGUAUCAUCACAAUUUUAGAAGUUCAUUGAUUUACUGUUUUCAAUUGACUGUAUCGUACGUGAGCGUGUAUUGUGAGUAUAUAUAUAUAUGUCUGUGUGUAUGUAUGUUGUUGUUGUUGUUGGAAUUUGGACAACGUUUUCGAUUCAGGAACAGAAUACAGUAAAAAAAAAGAAUCCAAAAAUUGAUGUUGACAAAAUUGGAUCUAUAAUACAGAGAUUUUCGAUUGACUUAAA